AACUGUACAAAAAUCACAAACCACUUACUGCCAAAACAGCUUCCGGAGACAGUCCAGCCUGACCCUCUCUCUCCUUGGUGAGCUGCCUCAACACACUGGAGUCCUGGCAGACCCUCAAUCCUCCCAUCACACUCCACCAACCAACAGAGACAUCAGUGCCCAAGGAGAGACACAGACAAUACUUGGAAGGUGGAAUUGCCAAGACUCACUGAGGAAACAGAGAAAGCACCGGCUUCUUGCUUGAGUUAGCAGUAGACUGCAGUGCUGCUUAACACAGAAAGCAUGGUGUGUGUGCUGGGUAGGCUUUGGGGAAAAACACUGAGUUCACCAGUUAUUGGUAUAAGAUUAGAGAGUGUGACACAUUUACCCAGGAUGCUAUCGGUCCUCCCCUGAAGAUCCCUGGUGGACUUUUUUUUUUCCUUCCAGCCCUUUCCCCAGGCCUGUGUUCAGCCAUUUCCACACACCAAAGCUUUCAGAACUAUAUGAAGUGGUUUGUAGCCUCAGAAUCCUGAGAUACUGUUUCAUCUACCUGUUCUUCCCCUGCUAUGCUGCCCAGACCUCCAUCUUUCAAGACUGAGCCUGGGCACCUUCUCUAGAAAGGAUGCCCUGACAUGAGGGGGCACACUGGGGCCCUUUGGACCUUUACCACAGAGCAUCAGUUAGCCCCCUCAUGCUGACUCCCCAAAGCUGACCAAGUCAGGACUCUAGCCCUCAUGGCCACCUCUAGAUAGGGCAGGAGUCCCUCUCAGGUGGCCUGUCCUGCUCCACAAACACCCCUGCCCAUGCCUCUGAAACCAAGCAUGCUUGAACACAUUUUGUCCUUUUACAAGUUACAGUGUGUCACUGUUUAUUUUCCCAGGUGUCCCAGGAAUAGGAUAUGACAUGACACCUCGUCAGGGAGGAGGUGGGGGUUUCCAGUUGCGCAGGUCCGGACUGCUAAGUGGCAGGAAGCAGAUUAAGUACCAGAAGUUCCCCUCCACAGCCCAGCCAGCCUGGUGAGAACUCCAGCACGAAACAAGAGUCAACGUGUCUGGGAUGUGAGAAAGUGAGAAAGACAGCCCAGAGGAGGGGACAGUUAGAGUCAAUCAGGACCGCAGUGUCCACACAUCCUGUGACAGGCAUGUUCUUUUGUAUCUGUCACCAGGGCCCCAGUUAGCUCCCACUUCUUAACGCUCAGGUUGGAAGAGAUGCCACCUCAGUGCCUAUAUCCCAGCUGCAUGUAACAGCUGGCUCCUGAGCAUGCG
rnacentral:lncRNA from 1 species